CGUUCGACCUAGCUUCCCUUGCGAAAAAAAAAGAAAGCGCCACCAGGAGUCAACGACUCUGUUAUUCUUCCUCGCUAGGUUGCCCCGUAGAUCUCUCCUCCACCAUGACUCCGCUCGGUUCCUCUUCGUCCAUGGCCACCGCUCGCAACGGGAACGGGUAUGCUCUGCCAAUCCCCGCAUUCAACGCAAUAAAUCCGUCCUUGAAGACAAUAGCGUCUUGCCUUCCCAUUUAUUUCUCUUGAUACACACUUCGUCCGAUCCACUUCCAGUCUGAAGCUCAAGAGAUAGACGCAAUGACGCAUAUAUACCAACCAUGAUUUACCUUCCCAUUUACUCCCCUGGAUACAUAUGCCUUCUCCGUUCCCCUUCCAGUCGAAAUCCUUUCUCCGCGUUGCAUCUAGCCUCCUCCAAUCCUCACUGGCUCAAGGCAAUGCCAAGAGUUUCAUCCAUUUAGAAAGUUGAACCGCAGGUGUCUCGAUGAUGCCAGAAAGAAGCAAACAGACUCACGAAAAAGAAGAAAGAGUACGAAGAUACCAUACACGGAGAUACACAUCCACUGCAGCUGGACACUCCUCUCAACUGCCGCUGUGCCCACACAUUCCUCAGGAAUCACCAACAUCUACUCUCUAAUCCAGAUGCAAACACGGUAAAUGCCAUCUCAAUCCACUUAUGUACGUCUUGCUCCAAGUCUUUCCGAAUUGUCCUUUAUGCAUGUUAGCAGUCCGGAAACAACAUGGGCUUCAGUUAUAAUUGGUUAAGUUUAACACAACGUGUAUACAAUGUUAUGCAAAAAUUACAUUGGAGAAUCUUUUCUGAACAUUUUAUCCUUGCAUAGCACAUGUUCUGUCUUAUGACAGCACCAAACUCUAUGUUUGCUAUUUAUUUUUUAUUUGUUGCACAACAGAUCGACUAGAAUCUCAGGAACCACCUCACUGUCAAAGGAUGUAUCAUGCUACACAUUCUGUCUCCCUUCCUUUCUUAAAUAUUAUAUUUCCCAAUACUUUUGAUGGAUUGCAUCAAUCACAUGAUAAUUAUUUUAUUUUGUUGCCAAAAAUUCAAGAUGGUAUACCCUUCCAGAUCCCAUUCUCACACAUUCAACUUGCUGCAACAUAACAAUUGCUUAUAUUUUUGAUGGCUUAUGUUCACGAUUGACGCUGCCUAAGUACAUUUAACUAUUAUCAUCCUUUUCGAUCACCUCCAGUUUAGUUGAUUCAUUUCUUCAUGACUAUAUUUUUCAGAAGUAGAGAGUUGAAGAGAUUCACAUUUUCAUCAAGCUGUAUUCUCAUAGUUGAUAAACUAGAGAGCUAUCUGUUCAAACUUUGACUAAUUUCCAAGCAUUCUUUCUUCAACCAUUGUAGUGUUACGACAGAGGUCAAAGUAUUUAUCCAACUGGGUAUUAUUUAAUGAGUAAUCAUGUUUCAUUUUUAUUAUUCAUAAAUUGCAAAUCCAGUCUGUUUUAACCAAUCUAACUUUCUCACUUGGGCAGAUAUACAGCAGAGUCAUUAGACUGAAAAUCAUUACACGGAUGCUUCCAUUUCCUGUAAAAGCAUUUAUUGUUUAUAGUUAGAACAAUGAUCAUGUUAAUUAUUCCUAGACAAUCGAUGUACCCCAUUGAAUUGAUUUACCUCAUUGACCGUUGUUCUUUAUAGUGUU